rfam:Sorghum bicolor cultivar BTx623 chromosome 9, whole genome shotgun sequence.
AUGUCGUGGUGUGGGCAUGCUUGGAUGUAGUCUUGUAGUCUUUCCCAUGCCUCUGGAAUGGACUCUGUGGUGUUCUGCUGGAAGUUGGAAAUUCUUCCCCUCAGGGCAU